rnacentral:lncRNA from 1 species
ACAAGAAUUGUUGAAAUACAAUUUAACAAACGAAUACAUAAAAUAUAUUCAAAACUAACUAUCUAUGAAUCCUCUGUUGUUCCAGAUGGAUGUUGGGACAAGAUCCACGACACCUCAAAAUAACUAACUAAAAGAUGAAAGUAGAGUCCUCUAGAAUGCAAGGAGGCUCACCAAAGCUAAUUGGAAGUGCAAGUGAUCUCAACGAAGCGCCUGUUGAUGAUCCUGAAUACCUGUAUAUUCAUUAUAAAAAGAUGCAGGUCGAAUGAUAUUAGUACAUUGAAUGUAUGAGUAUGUAAUAUCGCGAAAGCAAAAUACCUGAAUGAAAGGACUACAAUAGAUAUAAAUAUAUACUCAACUGUAAGUAAAUAAAUAAAAGAGUGAAAAUAUUUAAACUUUACAAAUACUUACUCAACUCUGAACUCAACAUAUUAAGUGAUAUGAUAAAAAUACACUUUUAACUCUAUCUAGGAGAUUCUCUAACUGAUAACCAUCACUAUAAGCAAUGCAAUGGUACAACGUCUCGCUCAUGCUGCUAGAACUGUCAUAUACCUUGCGGGGAUAUAGAACAUCUCAGCUAAGUGGAUCCACUAAGGCUCUGCUUGAAAGCAAUAAGGAGUCGUCUAAAAAGUACGAUCUUUUACCCAUGUUGGCUACAUGGUUUAUGAGGAAUGUGAGUUGUCUGAACUCAUCCCCAUAUCAGUGCUCAAUACUACUCCCAAUAAAUAUAUACUCAUGCUAAAAUGUAUAAAACAUAUUCUUUCUCAAUUUUGAGGUAAUUUCUCAAAAUAUCCUCUUUAAAGAGGUAAUGCUCUGAAAUAUCUCUAAACUCGUUAACUCAUUUAGAAAUCAAAAUAUCUUUUUUCUCAAUGUAAAAAAGUGAUACAUUUGGGAAUACUUAGUUCCCUUAUACUCUUACUCAAAUCAUGUUUAAAUCUCUUUCUCAAAACUCAUCUUUCCUUUCUCCGAAAAUCAGUUUAAGAUAAAAAUAUUUACUUGAAAAGAUUCUCAAAAAUUAUAACUCAAAAUAGGGUUCAUGCUGAAAUAUAAACAUGAACACCUCAACUCAAGGAUCUCAAUAACAAUAUAGAAAACUCAAUACUAAGAAAUCCAAAACUCACAACUCAAUGAUACUACUCAUCUCAAGAAUACUCAAAAUUCAUGAUAAAAUCCUAGAUUACUCUGUUACUGAAUUUAGAUAGAUGUAAGGCGUGAGGACGAACUCAGUUUGCCACUAUGAUAGCCUUACAUACUUGGAAGAACAAAGUUCUUGGUAAAAUCGGUGAAAACUCGAAGAAUGCUUAAAACAUUAGAUUUCUCCUCUUGGAUCAUUGCUCUAAGACUUGGAAGCGCGUUAAUGAACGUAAAAGGAUUGAUUAACACUGUUCAAACCCUUAACUAGGUGUAAAAAUAUCGUGGUUUAGACUUAGAAGAGGUGGGAAAAGACUAAACUAUCCCUCUUUAAAACUAACGAAAACCUUCCACAUGUCCAUCUACGGUAUCUACGGACCGUAGAUCCCAUCUGUGGAAUUUAUAUUGAAUUUUAAGGCUCAAAAUUUUAUUCUAUGAAUCCAAUCUACAUACUACAUGUAAACCUCCUUAAAAUAUGUGAUUCCAAUAGUACUUGGGGAUCACAAGCCUAUAGCAUUUUGUGUUUUGUUAAUCCUCAUGGUAAAAUUCAUGAUUUUAAUGUUACUUAUAAGAUAAUGUUGAAUUCUCAUACAAAUAAUCGAGUCCUGAAUAUGGAGAAAAUCCUAUUGGGAGCGCCAUCCCCGAAAGGGCCCUGCAGUGCGUGAUCUGGAUUUAGUCGGAACUCCAAUGUGGGCUCCGGACGGAAAACCAAAAAGACUUUUUCAAUAGGAGCUAAAUCCAAGUGAUGUUGGAUUUUAUAGGCUUAUAUACCUAAGAAAUAUGCAACAAAGUAUUUUCUUCAAAUCCAAAGAGAGGACAUGGGCUUUUAUGAUGCAUAAAGAGACUAUGAAAGUUUAGAUAUUGUUAUUGUAAAAGAAAUAAAUUUUUUUUACACAAAGGGUUGGCAUAAAUUUGUGAAAGCUAAAGGUUUAAGAGCAAAUGAUACAAUUAUUUUCACAAAUAAUUGUACCUUUUGCUCUUAAACCUCCGUCUUUCACAAACUUAUGCCAACCCUUUUGGAAAAUAAUUUUUUUGAUUUCUUUUGCAAUAACAAUACCCGAACUUCCAUAAUCUGCUUGAUAUAUCAUAAAAUCUCACGUUCACUUUGGAUUUAAGAAAAAUAAAUACGUUAUUGCAUAUUUCUUAGGUAAAUACAAGACUAGAAAGUCCAACAUCAUCCAUCAUUAUCCUAAGUAACAUUGAAAUCAUGAAUUUUACCAAAAAAAUUAACAAAAACACAAGAUACUAUAGGCUUUUGAUCCCUAAGUAAUAUUUUAAUAUCACAUUUUAAAAAGGGUUACAUAUAGUAUAUAGAUAUCCUCGUGGUGGUAACCUGACAGUAUACAAAUCAUUACACUAAUGGUGUAUAUAAUUUAAACUCUUACGAAUUUAUAUUUUUUGUGAAUCGUUGUAUGUAAAUAUCUCUGGUAUGACAUGCAACAACAACAACAUACAUAUCUAGUGUAAUCCCACAAGUGACAUAUAGGGAGAGUAGUGUCUACACAUACCUUAGGACAAUGACCAUUAUGUUGGCCUACAACACCUUUGAGUCUUCAUCUAGAAUUGCAAGUUUUUUUCUCACAUGCAUGAAUCUUGUAUAUUUUGGGCAAUAGAUGAUUGCUCGCUCUUAAAAUGCAAUCACCAACUGUUACGUAUGUGAUUGUACUUGAUAUUAAGGUCAUUUCGUCUUUUAUGUUGCAUUUUAAGAUUAGAUGCAAUAAUUAUAUUUAUAAAAAUUUUAAAAAUAACAAUUUGCAAUAAAGCACUAAGUGGAACUCCAAUUGAGCUCAUAAAAAGCUCAUCACAAUUUUUCUUUUGUACUAAAGACUAUUUUUAUGGAUAAAUGUGUUCGAAUCUCAUGACUUCAAUUUGCAAUUGAAAGCUCGUCAAGUACUAAAGUUAAUAACAAUAAUUUGAUUCAGUAAGUGUGAAACUGUUUUAUCAAUUUUUUGCCAUCUGAAAAUUGAACUAUUUUAUGUAGUACAACAUCAUGUCCAAAUAAUUAAGAAAAUAAUAGUAUCAUGUAAAACAAUGCUAAGAGUCUGCUUGAUAUUACUGCUAAAAAUAAUUUUUUUUGAAAAGUGCUUUUGAAAAAAAAAACAAUUGGUAUUUGACCAAUUCAUUCGAAAAGUGCUUUUCAUUAGCAAAUUGCGUUUGGAUAAUCUUUUUUAAUAAAUGUUUUAAGAGUCAAAUUACAAAAAAAAAAAACUAUUAAUUUACUUCUAAUAUUAAAAUUAUUUUAUAGAGAGAAACUAUUCAAAAUAUCUAUUAAAAAAAAUAAUGAAAUUUUUUUUAAAAAAAAAUUAAAUUUUACAUGUUUAAAUUUCAAUCAAUAUUAUACCUUUUUGGGAGGAUAAAAUAAUUAAUUUUUAUUAUUUUUCUUUUUUUUUAAUCUUGUAAAAAUAUUGUUGUUACCUUUUUUCUAAUUUUACAAAAUAAUAUGUAAUAUGUAAAAUAAUAAUAUAUAAAUGUAAAAUAAAUUAUAAAAUUUAUCAUAGAAAAAAUUAAAAAUAAAUUUCUUCAAUAAAUUAACCAAACUUAUGAAAUAUGCUAAUUAAUUAAUAAGAAAUAUAUUGGUAAGUAUGUAUAUGUGAAAAUAAUAUUUUAGUCUUGAGAAAAAUAAUUUGUUGUUUCAGCUUUUUAAAUAGAAUUUUUAGCUUUUUCCCAACAACAUAAAAUCUGCUUCUGCUUAUAUUUAAAAUCACUUUUAUUGAUUUGUCAAACACUUAAUUUUUCAAUAAAAAUGUAUUUUUUUCUCAAAAUAAAUAUUUUUGAUACCCCAACCGCAAUGCCAAAGAAGCUCUAAUAUUGAGUAUAAUAUUACUACCUAAUUCAAUCACUAUCUCAUACAAAAUAAAUAAAAAUCAAUAAGGUAAUCUAUUUAAUCAACUAGUACUCUACAAUUACACAGAGAUAACAGAACCAAAAAAUAUAAUUAUAAAACUUACUUGUAGGCAUAAAAUCAAAACUAUAAGACUUCACAUUGUCGUGAUAGAUGAAUGAGAAAAUUGAGGAAAUAUAAUUUCUAUAGAAGAAGAUUAAAAAUAAAUAUCGAUAUAUGUAAUAAUUAUUCACUUCAAUUGGAAAUUCAAAUGAUUUACACAUGAAACCUCUGAUUUUAGAAUGUAGAGAAGUUAUUUUUAUAUAUCCUUAAUUUAAGGAAAAACAUAUCAAAAAAAGAAGUAAUGAAAUUAACAUAAUCAUGAUAAAAUAUUAUAAAAGCAUGCCAAAACAUUCUAAACUAAUUUAAUAAUUAUAAUAAAACAAUACGGUAAUUGACAUACAGGAGACAAUGAACUCAAUUCUACAACCAGACAAAAAGAUUCUAAAAAAGAAAAUCUCACCAAAAUGGAGACACCAAUUGGGGAUUAGAUUAGAUGAGAUGAAAAAUACAAAAUUGAUACUCAUCCCAAUAUCUCAGUUGGUAUUUAUAAUAGAACACUGAAUAUGUAUUUAUGGGAAUAUGAAAUAAUGUUCAUUAAAUUCAAUAAAUAGGUUAACAUAUAUUUCAAUUAAUUUAAAAUUGUCAUGUGAUAGACAUUAAGACGUAUUAAUUGUCCAUUUAAUUGAAUAAUAAUGUUAUGAUCCUUUCUUAAUAUUACCUUCAAAUUACAAAAGAAAAGAUCUAUUUUUUUUUAAAAAAAGACAAAAAAAUGAGAAAAAUAAUAAUAUAUUAUUUGGCAGAGAAACCUCAUCGUGUUUUUUUUUAUUCCAGCUUUUUAAUAUCAAAAUAGAUUGCAUACCAAAAGGUGGGAUAGUAAUAACUAUUCUUGAAAUGACAUAAUUAUAUUGUAUGCAUUAAACUAUUAUUUUAUUUUCUUAGCAGAAAAAUGAAUUGAAAUAUCAAAAAGUUGAAAAAAAAGAUAAAUACAAAUCUAGACUAUAAAGAGGCGUCACAUCACAUUCUUUAUAUCUACCAUUAUUAUAUAUAAAUCAGAUUUUAAUCAAUUUAAUCAUAUAUAUAUAUAUACUUAUUUUAUUGAGAGAUAGAGAUUGUAAAACGAUUUGACAUUUAUGGCUAGAGAUGACAAAGGAACGGGUGAGUAGAAUACGGGUGUCAAGCCCCGAGCCUACAUCCUGGACGUGGCCGACACUCGAGAACUAUUGCUGGUCCCAAGCGAACCCUUGGCCUGACUUAACUCUUAGCGGAUGACUUACUCAACAUAUAAUAGACUUAAAAGAAAGAUUUAACUCAAAUAACUAACUCGGAAUAUUUAAAGAAACAUUCAAUAGCCAAAGUGAUAACUCAAGUUUCAGACAUCAAUAACUGAAAUGGAAAGAUUCAUGAACUAAUAAUGUCUAACUAUCUAUGAAGCAUCUUCUAACUGAGAUGGACGUCAGGACGAGACCCACGACAUCUUAAUAAUAAGACUGAAAUGAUAAAGUAAACAAGGGAUCCUCCGAAAUGCAAUGAGGCUCACUAACAACUCUGAAGCUCAACUGGAUCAACGAAGCGCUGGAGUUGAUCUUGGUUACCUGUAUCUGCAUCAUAAAAGAUGCAAGCAAAAUGACGUCAGUACAUGGAAUGUACGAGCAUGUGAGGGGAAUUCUAAAACAAGACAUAAGCUUGAAAUGGAAUUGAAGAAACACUUACCUCAUCUCAACUAAACUAUACUCAUUUCAAUAUUGAAGAAACACUUACCUCAAUCUCAACUAAACUAUACUCAUUUCAAUAUAAAACAGUGAUAAAGAUGAAAUAUAAAGAAAAAGCUUUUUAAAACAGUAGAUAGCAACUCAAUGUAUUGAAAAAUACAAUAAUAACUAAAUUUUUUGUAUAUAAAAAUACAAGUAACGAUGUGGGAGAUUCUCUAACCGACAACCAUCACUAUGAGCUAUGUGAUGAUACAACGUCUAGCCCACGCUGCCAGAACUAUCCUAUACUUUGCCGGGGUAUGAAACCUACUACUAAGUAGAUCCACUAGUCUAUGCUAAAAAGCAUUAAGGAAUUAUCUAAAAAGUAUGACCCUUUCUACCCAUGUUGGCUACAUGGUUUAUGAGGGCUAUGAGUUGUAUGAACUCUCCCCCAUAUCGGUGCUCAAUACUACUCCCAAAAUACACUAGCUCAUAUGUUUAAAAACAUAACUCUUUCUGUGGUUUGAGAUUAUUAAUCAAAAAUCUUUCUCUUAAAAGAGAUAUUACUUAGAACUGCUCAUAAAAACUCUUUUGGAAAUCGGUGUUUCCUCUCAUCUUAAAUGUAAAAACAUUUGCUCUUGGGAAUACUUAGUUUCCAUAUAUCAUUUUAAAGAAAAUGAACUCAGUCUACUCUUCCUCAACUCUAUGUUCAAGUCAUUUAAAACAAGUUGUAAAACAAUCGUAAAAGACCUUUUAAAAUGGCUCGAAGAACUCUCAAGACUUGAAUCUCAACUCUACCUUGAAUGUGACUUAUGGAUUCAAGGGUUAUGAUCUCAUGUUAUGGAUGACCUCUUGAUAUUUAGACGUACCUUAGAGUGUAGAAAUCAAUUAGAAAACAUAGGUACGAUUCGAGGGAACUCAAAUGGAAAGAAGGUCGAAAUGGUAGAGGACCUGGCGACCCUGGUGCACUGAGUGGCGCAGGGCGCAAGACCCUGAACUACAGAAGCUGACUUGGGGCGCACUGAGUGGCGUGACGCCCCAAUACCCAAAUUACAUAACCUGACUUGGGGUGCACUGAGUGGCGCGGCACCCCACCCCUUUUCUCCUUGAUGAAUUUUCUUACUCGUUCUCUAACUCCAAUUCACGUAUAAUCUAAUGGUUUCUUCCCCAAUCUCUUAGAUUCAAAUACCCAACAAUAGUACACAAUAAUCUACUAAAAAAAACUCUUAAACUCCAACGAUUAUGUCAAGAAAUCAUCAAACCCAUCCUAAUUCAAGAACGAAAACAAUACUUCAAGAAACAAAUCAAGAACUCAAACUCUUUAAUUUCAAGAAGGAAACUUCGCUGAAAAUAACAUGAUUGGCGUGUGGGUGAACGAACCCAACACUAUGAGAACUCACAUACCUCUUAGGGAUCAACCCUUGGCGAAAUCCGCAACCAAAAACCUCAAGAACUUGAUGAACGCUUGACUUUUCUCCUUUUCUCCUCUUCUUGAACUUCUCUAGAAACCCUAGCAUAAAUUACGAUUUGUAAAACUGAAGCAAAUCAGUUUAGACCCCUAAAUAUUACUAAACUAGUAAAAUUGAUGAGUCCACAAAUUGGACUUAGUUAGGGCUUUAUUUUGAUAAGAAUAGUGUCCUCGAAUGCUUGUUUUGUCUAAAUAUCUGAUGAAAACUCUUAACUUUCAGGUAUUUGAAGUUUUAGAGAAAGCAUGGACACUUAGGCGCAAAAAGGAAGAAAAAGGCUGAAAGAACGAAGAAAUUGAAGCCCAAGCAUCGCCAAGCACACUUGGCGAUUCGCCGAAGGGAUUUACUUCGCCCUUUGUUCCAAUACGCGAGGCCCUGAAGGAGAAGGAUAAAAAAGGCGAUGAAAGGAGGAGUCGGCGCUUUGCCAAAUAGUUCCACGAAGCAGUACUAUAUCGCCCAAUGAUCUAGAAUGUGAAGAUGCUGAAGGCAAUCACAAAACGUCGAUGAGACAGACGAAAGGCGAGUCGCCGAAGUCAUUCGGCGAUAUCGACUAACUUCACCGAAAGAUCCGUCAGCGCUAUUUUUGAAGUCUAUAAAUACUGAACUUGUUAUUCAUUUUAAAGAGUCGAACAUUUAUUUUAAUUUCCAGAAUAGAAUAGUACUUUUUGGAUAUUUUUCUCUCAAGUUUAGAGAGGGUUUUUCGGGAGACUUGAAGAAAGAAGGAUUUCAUCUUCCCCAAGUUGGAAGUGGGUCUUCUCCAUUCUUCUUCCUUUGCUUAAAUUAAGGUUUAAUUUCUUAUACCCAUUUGAUUUUACUAUCAUUUUAGGUGUAUUUUGUUAUUUCUUGAUGUGUGGCUAAAAACCCUUUCACCUAGUAGUUGUGGUUUAAUCUAAAGGGUUUGUAGUUGCAAAUACAAAGCCACCCAUGUCUUUUCGUCUUGCCCGAGAGGGAGGUCGCAAAACCAAGACCACUGACCUAAGGGUGGUAACGGGUCUGAGUUUGGUAGGUCGGAACGACUGGAAUCAGAAUGACUCUACUCGGGUUUCUUCCGGGACUAGGAUCAAUCGGGUCGCGAUAUUCGGGAUGAAAUGGAAGUUCCCUCAUGUCACUUCUGAGCCAACACAUUAGAUGUGGCCGACACUUGAGAACCAUUGUUGGUCAUCAAGCGAACCCUUAGCAUGGCUAACUACUUAGCGAAAAACUAACUCAAGCAGAAUCAAGCUUUAAACAGAAUUAGACCUUUUAAUCUCAAAGUACUCGAAUGUCUCAAAAUACUCCAAUAACAAGAAUUGUUGAAAUACAAUUUAACAAAGAAAUACAAAAAAUAUAUUCAAAACUAUAUACCUAUGAAGCCUCUGUUGUUCCAGAUGGAAGUUGGGACAAGAUCCACGACACCUCAAAAUAACUAACUAAAAGAUAAAAGUAGAGUCUUCUAGAAUGCACAGAGGCUCACCAAAGCUAACUAGAAGUGCAAGUGAUCUCAACGAAGCGCCUGUUGAUGAUCCUGAACACCUGUAUAUGUAUUAUAAAACGAUACAGGUCGAAUGCUAUCAGUACAUUGAAUGUAUGAGUAUGUAAUAUCGCGAAAGAAAAUACCUGAAUGAUUGGACUACAAUAGAUAUAAAUAUAUACUCAACUGUAAGUAAAGAAAUAAAAGAGUGAAAACAUUUAAACUUUACAAAUACUUACUCAUCUCUGAACUCAACAUAUUAAGUGAUAUGAUAAAAAUACACUUUUAACUCUAUCU